AAUCGGAUGAUACGGAUUAAAAGGGAAUCGGGUGAAAAUCCCGGACAGUCCCGCUGCUGUGAAGCUCUAUUUCAACAUUCUGAAACUUACUAUUGCCACUGGUCUAUAAGUUAUAAACCGGGAAGGCUUCAGGAUGGGAGUCAGUCAGAAGACCUGCCGUUCGUUAA
rnacentral:ncRNA from 1 species